AGAGUUUGAUCAUGGCUCAGAGUGAACGCUGGCGGCGUGCUUAACACAUGCAAGUCGAACGAGAACGGGUUAUAGCUUGCUAUAACUGUCAGCUAAGUGGCGCACGGGUGAGUAAUAUAUAGUUAAUCUGCCCUAGAGAAAGGGAUAACGUUUGGAAACGAACGCUAACACCUUAUAUGCCUUUAAGUCAUAAGUGUGCAAGGGAAACAUUUAUGGCUCUAGGAUGAGACUGUACGGUAUCAGUUAGUUGGUGAGGUAAUGGCUCACCAAGACAAUGACGCCUAACUGGUUGAGAGGAUGAUCAGCACACGAAAA
rnacentral:rRNA from 1 species